GUGUUUGUUUUGACAACACACACACUGAAAUUGGAACAAUAUAAAGAGUAGCAUGACUUCUAGGCAAGAAUGGCAUGCAAAUUCACCAAGUGUUCCAUAGUAAA
ensembl:snRNA U6 U6 spliceosomal RNA